CCUUGAUUGGGUAUGUUUCCUGUGUAGUGACUUUAUGUUUGUUCUUACAAUAUCUGAAACAUUUAGGAAAAAAUCUAAUUUAUUCCAUUAAUGGCCAGUUAAAUAGAUUGGUGCUUGCUUUAUUAGGGGUCUGACUUAAAUUAGGAACCCUGCCAUAUUCUGUAUUCGGCACCCGUGUUUGAUGCUGUCACAGUCUAUCCUCUCUGCAGGUGACAAGAGCCUCUAGCCCUUAGCUUGAAAGCCUUUCUUAGAGCAUUUUAACAAGCUCGUUUAAAACAUUGUGUGAUGUGCCAAGCAGCACCUAUCUGCAUGUGUGUUGUAGUCUGGAUUUCCCUCUCAUUUUGGGGAAACGAAAUAAGCAGGACACUUAAGUAGUCACUGAAGCCCUAAGUGAAGAAUUAAUAAUGAAGGAUUUUUUUCUUUUUUUCUUUUUUUUUUACAGUAAAGAGAAACUGAGUGAGAUUCAAAAUGUUGGGUUUUGUUGUUUUUGUUUUUGUUCUUUUAUAUUUGUACUUGUAAAGUAUCUUUCAGCACUACUAGCAGUUAGGUGGGUUUGUAAAAUUUAAACGUUUUCCAUUCUCAGUUCUCAUUUUUAAGUUCCCACCACACUGACCAGUGCUGCUGAUGAAUGCUCAGAGGUAAAGUUACUCCUACUGUCGGCAGUCUCAUCUGAAAGUGACCCGGAAUCCUGACUGACUGGUGAGGAAAUGCUGUUACCCGUAACCUGCGAGUGUUUCUCUUGGCUUUUCUGUGAAGGAUAUUUGGACAUUGGUAAAGUCGUAAGGAGUAGAUUUUUUGUCAGACUUCAGCACUUAAUAUUCACAGUGGGCUAGAUGGACGCUGCUACAGAGGAGAGUCUGCACCUGCGUCGGCACAGCGCGCAGGCUUGCUGUAGACAGUGAUGCAGUAGCUGGCUAUUGGUUCCCUGGGGAGUGUGCGGUUAGAUAAGGGCCAUGUCUGCCUGAUGCUGGGCCUCGGCCUCUUCAGUCUUCAUCUGUGCCUCGGAAAGAUGGACCAGACACGGACGCGUGCAGCUGAUGUAAAGAUCAGUAAAGGGGUACAGACGUGUGCAGACGUGCAGAUGGCGUGGAACACACUCUCUGUGCUUCCAGGGACACAGGCUUUUGUGUCUGGUUUGAAAUGGUCUGUUUGCCUCUGUUCAUUUUUCUGUGCGACUGAUGAGGCUACAGGACCCCCUCUGGAGAGAUAGAAGCCGUUUCUGUUUCUUUGGUUUCAGUAGCGCAUUGCUGAGCUGAGCUCCGGGAAGUGACUCCUGACAGUACCGUGGCAUGCCCAUCUUCUCUUGUUUCCUGAGUGGGAAGACAUUUUGCUUUUUAAAGUAUUGGUUAAGUAAAUUUAAGGUACUUUGGUGACUAAACUUUCUGAAGCAAGAGUUACUGCUUUGAAAGCUUGAGUUGUUCCUUUAAAAUUAAUGUCUGGCUGGUGUUAACGAAGGAGAAACACAUAAUUGAACUGUUUGGUGUGGUACAAAUGUGUGACUCCAGGCUGCUUGUGUUUAGCAACUGAUGCAUACAUGUGUAUAUGUAGUGUUCUGAGCGCUUCGGAUUGAAUGGCUGUUGUCCUCUUUAACUCCCUUUCAUGACCUAGAGAAUAUUAACGUUGAAAAGCUAUGAAUAAGGAAGGAAUCUCAUACUUAUAUAUAAUAUGAAUUCCAAAGUAACUGACAGUAACAUGAGAAAAUUAUGCCAGCAUGUUGCUGUGUAUAAAAAUCUUGUUUAUAAAUAUGAAGCUUUUUGAUGACAAAGUUUUGUUUAAAAAAAUAGAAUUUGAAUUUUUCCUGUUUGCCUGAGUAAAGAAAUCAGAAAGCCGGUGAGCCCUUUUGUAGUCUAUUCAGUACUCACCGAUUCUCAGGAUUCCCUAGGGAAGGACCGAGCAGGGGUUUUCUAGCUUUGACGUCUGUGUAAGUAAUGGGGUCAUUCAUAUCAGCAUUGGCCUGAGGUGGCUGUGUGGUGGAUGGUCUCUUGGCACUCUAGCCAUUAGCAGUGGGCUUCUGUGGAAGUGCCGAGGAGGUGACCUGCCUGUGGCAAGUCAGCUGAGCUUCAAGUGUGAAGGCUGCUGUGAGCCUGGUGCCGUCUUGCCAGGACACUCAGUCUCCAAAGUGACUUAUGCAGUAUUCAGACAUCUAGUGCAAUGCCUUUAUCUUAUUUUAUUUUAUUUUUUGGUUGUUUUUGUAAUGGGUGUAGUGUAUUAUAGAAAAAAAGGAAACUACAAUCACGAGCAGUUUUGUUUAAUGCUGCUUUGUCAGUUUUGUAAAAGAAAAUGUACAUAAUGUCUUUCAACAGGUUUUAAACUAGAGGAAAUGACGUUGUAAAUCACAGUAGCCUCCUACUUAAUGUAUUAUAAUGUAUAUAUUUCUCUAACUUUGUUUCCAGCUGUUUUUAUAUGAUUGACAUGUUAUUUAAAGAUAACUACCGUAGCUUCUUAGAGACUUGUACUGUAAAUAAAGAGGACCUACAAUAAACUGGAAUUUACUUACUCU
rnacentral:lncRNA from 1 species